UUUAAUUGAAGAGUUUGAUCAUGGCUCAGAUUGAACGCUGGCGGCAGGCUUAACACAUGCAAGUCGAGCGGUAGCACAGGGAGCUUGCUCCCCGGGUGACGAGCGGCGGACGGGUGAGUAAUGUCUGGGAAACUGCCUGAUGGAGGGGGAUAACUACUGGAAACGGUAGCUAAUACCGCAUAACGUCGCAAGACCAAAGAGGGGGACCUUCGGGCCUCUUGCCAUCAGAUGUGCCCAGAUGGGAUUAGCUAGUAGGUGGGGUAAUGGCUCACCUAGGCGACGAUCCCUAGCUGGUCUGAGAGGAUGACCAGCCACACUGGAACUGAGACACGGUCCAGACUCCUACGGGAGGCAGCAGUGGGGAAUAUUGCACAAUG
rnacentral:rRNA from 1 species